rnacentral:rRNA from 1 species
GUGGGGAAUAUUGGACAAUGGGGGCAACCCUGAUCCAGCCAUGCCGCGUGAGUGAAGAAGGCCUUAGGGUUGUAAAGCUCUUUCGGCGGGGACGAUGAUGACGGUACCCGCAGAAGAAGCCCCGGCUAACUUCGUGCCAGCAGCCGCGGUAAUACGAAGGGGGCAAGCGUUGUUCGGAUUUACUGGGCGUAAAGGGCGCGUAGGCGGAUCUUUAAGUCAGAGGUGAAAGCCCUGGGCUCAACCCGGGAAUUGCCUUUGAGACUGGGGAUCUUGAGUAUGGGAGAGGGUGGCGGAAUACCCAGUGUAGAGGUGAAAUUCGUAGAUAUUGGGUAGAACACCAGUGGCGAAGGCGGCCACCUGGCCCAUAACUGACGCUGAGGCGCGAAAGCGUGGGGAGCAAACAGGAUUAGAUACCCCAGUAGUCC